rnacentral:rRNA from 1 species
AACGAACGCUGGCGGCAUGCCUAACACAUGCAAGUCGAACGAGACCUUCGGGUCUAGUUGCGCACGGGUGCGUAACGCGUGGGAACCUGCCCUUAGGCUCGGAAUAACUCCCCGAAAGGGGUGCUAAUACCGGAUAAUGUCUUCGGACCAAAGAUUUAUCGCCUUUGGAUGGGCCCGCGUUGGAUUAGCUAGUUGGUAGGGUAAAAGCCUACCAAGGCGACGAUCCAUAGCUGGUCUGAGAGGAUGAUCAGCCACACUGGGACUGAGACACGGCCCAGACUCCUACGGGAGGCAGCAGUGGGGAAUAUUGGACAAUGGGCGAAAGCAUGAUCCAGCAAUGCCGCGUGAGUGAUGAAGGCCUUAGGGUUGUAAAGCUCUUUUACCCGGGAUGAUAAUGACGGUACCGGGAGAAUAAGCUCCGGCUAACUCCGUG